UCGCAAGAAUGGAUAUCGUUACAAGUACAUGUACGGAAAAGAAGAGAUAUAUAAUAGAAUUGGCUUACACUCGCCACAAGCUACAUCAGAGUCACAUCAGUACAUUACAUAUUCAACAAGAGUAAGAGCAGGGUCCGACUAGAGACGAAAACAAACAAGAAAAUAAGAACGACGUCCAUCAUUGCUAUCCUAGGCUGCCGUCCUGGAACCCAUCC
rnacentral:lncRNA from 1 species